GUUAAAACCCUUCGUUCACAAAGAGAGAGGGGCUUGCUUGCCGCCUAGAUUGCUAACCUUUGUUUACC
rnacentral:tRNA from 1 species